GAUGAACGCUGACAGAAUGCUUAACACAUGCAAGUCAACUUGAAUUUGGGUUUUUUAACUUAGAUUUGGGUGGCGGACGGGUGAGUAACGCGUAAAGAACUUGCCUCACAGCUAGGGACAACAUUUGGAAACGAAUGCUAAUACCUGAUAUUAUGAUUAUAAGGCAUCUUAGAAUUAUGAAAGCUAUAUGCGCUGUGAGAGAGCUUUGCGUCCCAUUAGCUAGUUGGAGAGGUAACGGCUCACCAAGGCGAUGAUGGGUAGCCGGCCUGAGAGGGUGAACGGCCAAAAGGGGACUGAGACACCGCCCUUACCUCUACGGGAGGCAGCAGUGGGGAAUAUUGGACAAUGGAACAAGAGUCUGAACCAGCAAUUCUGUGUGCACGAAUACCGUUUUCGGAAUGUAAAGUGCUUUCAGUUUGGAAGAAAAAAAUGACGGUACCAACAGAAGAAGUGACGGCUAAAUACGUG
rnacentral:rRNA from 1 species